rfam:Anaerococcus prevotii ACS-065-V-Col13 contig00046, whole genome shotgun sequence.
UAUAGUGGCGAUAGCGCUAGGGAUACACCUGUUCCCAUACCGAACACAGAAGUUAAGCCUAACAACGCCGAUGGUACUCGGAGGGCAACCUCCCGGGAGACUAGGAAGCCGCUAAAC